GACGAACGCUGGCGGCGUGCUUAACACAUGCAAGUCGAACGGAAAGGCCCUGCUUUUGUGGGGUGCUCGAGUGGCGAACGGGUGAGUAACACGUGAGUAACCUGCCCUUGUCUUUGGGAUAACUUCAGGAAACUGGGGCUAAUACCGGAUAGGAGCUCCUGCUGCAUGGUGGGGGUUGGAAAGUUUCGGCGGUUGGGGAUGGACUCGCGGCUUAUCAGCUAGUUGGUGGGGUAGUGGCUUACCAAGGCUAGGACGGGUAGCGGGCCGGAGAGAGUGAUCGGCGACACUGGAAGUGAGACACGGUCCAGACGCCUACGGGAGGCAGAAGUGGGGAAUAUUGGACAAUGGGCGAAAGCCUGACGGAGCAACGCCGAGUGAGUGAAGAAGGUCUUCGGAGCGUAAAGCUGUGUUAUUGGGGAAGAAAAGAUGUGUAGGUAAAUAUGCGGGUCGUGACGGUACCUAAUGAAAAAGCAACGGCUAACUACGUG
rnacentral:rRNA from 1 species